CUUGGAUUGCAAAUUACAAAACUCAGAUUUUGAGAUGUCUGACAGCUUUUUCCAUACUAUCCAAAGCUCUGUCUCCUUGUUUAUCUCACAUGGCAAAUUAAUACUGAAUCCUUUAAUAGAUGUAUGUAACUCAAAUAACCCUGAUGUAAUAAUCUUCCUUUAAUUAUGUUGGAUAUAUUGAAUAUACCUAAAAUAGGUGGUAGGAUAUGGUAUGCUAAUUUAAAAUAAACCCUCAAAGAAUACUUGUGAUGAAUGAAUAUCAACUGCAAAUUUGUGGAAAUAAAUUUAAACACACUGAUUACAUUUUUCUUAUGAAUUGUUAAAUAUAUAUUAAUGUCAGUCUGCGUGGAUAUGCUCUUCUAAUCAUAGUAAUACAAUAGCACAUCCAAUAUAAUCUUUACAAGACAGAAAAAGUGUCCCAGACUCCUGUGGCCUUUUGAAGCCAGAUACAGUUUGUUGUACUACAUUUUUUCACCUCAUUUUUCACCAGUCUUUCUUGCUUUCUUUGCUUAACCAAUAUUUUUUCUAGUGCAGCAGCUCUGAUUUUGUCUUUACAGCAUUCAAAGAAAGGUAUGAGGAAGUUGCCUUAUUUGAGGGAAAAUAUGAAUGUAAAACUCAGUACCACAAGGAGUUCAAGCCAUCAGAAAGUAAUGUGAAGACUUCAAUCAAGUCACCCCUUGGGGAAGAUUCAAGCCAAUGACGGAAAGAAAUAAGGAAAAAGAAAAGACUUGCUUGAUAACUGACUUCUCUUGGGAAAAGGGAAUAAUAAGUACUGCUUUUUGUCAAGAUUAUCUUUAUGGGAAAGUGAUACAGGAAAUAAAUGGAUUCGAUUCAAACACCUGUGAUGCCUUUUAAAAGGCUUUGAAAAGCUACAAGGAAUGAAAGGUAAGUAUUCAAAGUCAAAAAGUUUGCAUCAAUAAUUUAUAUGAUUUGAUGCAGAAACUUCCCUAGUAGAACAUAAGACAGGUUAUGGACUUCCAGACGGAGUCUCUAUAUGGCAGUGACAGCUAUACUUGAGCCAUAAAGGAAAAGAAAUAUAUUUUUAUUACUGUGUUAAAAAUCUUGAAAUAGAUUGGUUUCAUUGUUU
rnacentral:lncRNA from 1 species